UACGAAGGGGGCUAGCGUUGUUCGGAGUUACUGGGCGUAAAGGGCGCGUAGGCGGCCCUCCAAGUCGGGUGUGAAAGCCCACGGCUCAACCGUGGAAUUGCACUCGAGACUGAAGGGCUCGAGGACGGGAGAGGAUGGUGGAAUUCCCAGUGUAGAGGUGAAAUUCGUAGAUAUUCGCAAGAACACCAGUGGCGAAGGCGGCUCACUGGCCCGGAACUGACGCUGAGACGCGAAAGCGUGGGGAGCAAACAGG
rnacentral:rRNA from 1 species